AAGGUGUGAGACUGGUAUAUUGAAAUGCACCAUGUACUUUUUUUCCCCCUCGCUUUAUUAUUAUUUGAAUCAUCAUAAGCCCUAAAGGUCACUACCAAGAUUAACAUUCAGCAUCACCAAACUGUAGUGAAGCAAAGACCCUGUUCAAGAGGGGUUCAAAAUGUCAAGUAAUGGGAAUAGAAAAAGGACCUGUGGGGCUGUGAUUGUCUGAGGGUUACAACGUGAGUGAGCAGCAAACCGAGGAAGAGACCCGGCGUCCUGCAGCUGAGAGCUGUGAUUUUUCUUCCAGAUUGCACAGCCUUUCUGUUAUCUUUUCAGAUCAGUUUUGUUGCCCUUUAGCUAUCAUCACCCUCAGACCCAACACCAUUUCUGACUGCGGUGGCCUUGUGCCAGAAGAAAGCGCUCUCUAGUUAUUAGCAUCAGAGGAAUUUCUGAAGAUGCAGUGCUUUAGUUUAGCACCCCUGAGUUUCAAGUCCUUCUUUAGCAGGGCCUUGGUUGGGGUGUGCCACUUUGGACCAACUCCCUCCUCAUUUUGAUGUGGCUAAUCACGGCUGGAAUGACUCAUGCUCAUACGUGCAAGCAGGGCUGGGAACCAUUGGAUCUCCCUCUGAAUUUCUAGAACUCUUUGUUCCUGCUUGUUCCAACAAUAACAAAGGAAAGGCCUUUCUUUGGUGGCAUUUUGGCUUUCUGCUGCAGUGAAUCAUGGAGAGGGAAUUGAAAUCUGUGUGUUUGGGAAAAAAUACCUAGAACCGUAAGGAUGCACAGAACUGCUUCCAGGUGGCUGACCUAUCAACUGAGAGCUCAGAUGUGAUUCUAGUGAGAAUCCUUUCCCAAGAUGACUCCAAACCUGGAGAGGACAGCAGAGUGCCUACCAUGGGGGGCUGUACUGGAGAAACCUGCCAAAUCUCGCAGUUCCUUCUGCAUGUCCAAUGAGGGGAUUAUUUUGCAAGCUUAAAUCUCCCUACUAAAAAAAGAAAGUUACACUGAUAAAUACCUGUUGUCUACACAUUGAGGCUGGUGAGGAAUAAGCUGAAGCGUGCGUGUGAAGGGCACUGUCAGUUCUGCAGAAAUGGCUCUUAUUUCACCGGGCUAACGUCACAUCCAGAGAGCUCACAGCAGUCUUUGUGCAGGUAUCCUCUGGGGAGUGAGUGAGAAGCAGCUAUUCUAAGCUGUCCCCUUAUACAGGCCCCAGCACAUCUCUGCCAGUUUGGAAAUGAGUGAGAGUGAACUCUGCACCUGUAAGUGGGUCUUAAUCCAAACAUUUUAUGCCUGAGAGCAUUUGAGUGCUCAGACGAUGCUACUACCCCCUGGGAAAACACGUACAGACCUACCCUAUGUCUUCUGCAGCAACAGUGUGACCCUGAUAUCUACACAGCCCCCUGCAUCUGAUUUCAUCUCCACUAUUAAUCUGAGGUCUUUGUAAAGUGUGGGACCUUCCAACCUGCUGUGAUUCAUUCCCGAAAGCCAAAGCUACAAUUCUGAUGGAAGAAAUGCAGUGCUUUUAAUCUCUGCACCUCAUUAACCACAGUGUGAUCCAAACCACUGGUGCCCUUCAGGGGACUGGUACCCUGGGCUGCCUUGAACAGCGCGACCCAUAACGGAUUGCUGGCGUGCUGUUGUGAUCGUUUUGCUGAGCUACAGGAGCUGUUGGGCAGAGCUGGAGCGUCUCCAGUUGUGAUGAAAGAAUCAUGGAAUGAGCUGAAAUUGGGGAAUUUGUGCUCGAGAUUUCUCUGCCGAAGCCCUGAGAGUCACCUGCUUCGCUUUGCCAGGGUGGGCAGACGCUGCAAUCCAAAGAGUUUUGCAGGAAGACGAUGAUUGCGCAGGACCAGAGCCCUCUGCCAAGGAUGCUCACAUCUCCUCAUGAGGCAGAAGAGCGCAGUGCCUUCAAACAUUCAUCAGACAAUGAGAGCAGCCACAGUCGCCUAUUAGCCGCUGGCAGAGCGCCGUGUGUUGAUGGACAGCUGCACAUUCAGCUCGGUUUCAUGUCUGGGAGAUGUUCAGCACGCGUGCGGCUCAGCCCUUCUGCCAGGCUCCUCUUCUAUUCACAAGAGCCAACUGUAAGGCUUCCUUGCUGUUUUUUGGAAAUUCAGAGAGGGCUUGGCCUACACAAACCUGGUUGAAAUCCUCAUAUUGCAUUCACUAGCAGAGUUCAUGUGUUUUUUGAGUUGUUGAAGACAGAGCCUGAGGUCCAUUCUAUGAUUCUACGAUUCUGUGAUAUACAAAUGUAUUUCUAAUGCUUUUCCAUUCCCAGUCUCUCCAUUCCAGUGUUUCUUUGGAAUGAAUUUCCACCCUACGAUGCCCAUGGCCACCCUGGCUGGUUUGUUGGGCUGUGUGGUGGGUUUGCCACUCAGGAGCUGGUCUCUGAUCCUUAUGGGUCUCUUCCAACUUGAGAUGUUCUAUGAUUCUAUGACUCACAUCCCUUUGGUUGUUGCAUUAGACCCCGGAGUUCUAAUAAGGCAAUCCAAAAGUGAAGCAGCAAAUCCCCAGGUACAUUACACAAUCUCUGUACUUCCUCAUAAGAUAAAUCAUAGCUCUAAUUUGCUCUCUGAAUUUAACCUGUCCCUUAAUUUCAUUUUGCUUUGAGCUCCUGGAUAUAAAAAGCUACACACUAGGUAAUGUUAUCCUACAGUAACACAACACUGAACCUGAUUAUGGGAGGUUGGGAAAUUUCUGUCUCUAGGGGACUCAGGAACAAAUUAGAUCUAAUCAGGAACAUUUCUGGCAUCACUGAUCCUGCUCUGAUACAUGAGGGUGGAGGAACCUUCUUGAAUUCUCUGUCUACUUGAUUUUCUCUUGGCAGACGCACCAGCCUGAGAGGGCAUCCACAGGAAUAGGUAAUUGUGUUCAAAGAACACCAGGAGAUCAUCUGGGAUGAUGUCCCAGUAACUGUGACCUGCUGCACAUCAUUUCAGCUUCUUUUUUCCUUACCAACAGCAGAGAAAAAGGCAGGGAGAGGAGAAACAAGCAAGUGGGAAGGACCAGAUCAAUCAAAACCCAUAAAAACUACUUAGCAAUAUCAUGUCACCUUGAGAUCCUGUUGAGCAAUACUAACUGCCAUGGUUUGCCUGUGAGCUUCUCAAAAAAAACUACAGAAACUGAAUAUCUCUAAGAUGGUACCCCCCAGCCAAACGCGAAGGUAGCAGUCACAAGGCUCACAAUGUGCUCCAGCCCACAAAGCACAGCAGCAUCAGUUUGAUUACCAGCAGAACCAAACAGAUUCUGCCUCCACUGAAGUCAAUCACACCACUGUGUCCAGGAGUUUCCCCAGAGCAAACCUGAACUGAUUUCAUUACGCAGCAAGCAGACAUUGCCAGCUGAGCUCUUCGAAAAUGUAAACGCUUUCCCAUCAUGCAUUAUUUUCCCAUUAUCUUGAGUGCCUGUAAACCUAUUGCCUUAAUUUUCAUAAGAUUUCAUAGAGUUCAGUAUAAAUACCUGCUAUCCAUCACAAUAUUAGAAGAAAAAGAAACGAUAAUAACUUAAUUAUCUCUUAUGCAGAAACUAAUUAUAAUUCUCUGGGUUCAUAAUCAAUACUUUAAAGCUGUUCUAUCUCAGAGAACAGUUUGUCAAUAUUUUAUAUACUGUUAAUAAUUCAUGGCUUUAUUACAUAAUCAAACAGGAAUCUAACUCCAGAGAGGCCUAAGCACAGAAGGAAGCAGCAUGGGAAAAAAAACGAAGUGGAGGAAUGCAAAGCCUUCAGGCAGAACGUGAGGGUGCAGUGAAGCUACACCACCAUCCUGCUUGCCUGCAAGGAUGGGGCUGAGUUCAUAGGACAGAUAAGUUGGUUAGAGGAAAGGAAGAACGUGCCAAAAAAUGUAUGCCAAGAGAAUCAGUUAGAAGGCAAUCUGGCAUUUCCCAAGUGUGAUGUUGAAAUUUACUAUUUCCACUUGGAGAGGGCAUUUGGGAGUGGAGGAGAGAAAAGGACUGUCUCUUCUGAGAGGCAACCAGCACCGUAUGGGAUCAGUUGUAUCAUCAGAUCUUUCUUAAAACUGCAAAGAGUCAAAGUUAAACCAUUCCUUGUUUCUUCAUGCCCCUCCUGCCUAAAAAUGAAACACUCAACUCUUGUUCUGCAGUGCUGCAUGUGAUUACUCUAGUGUCUGACCCCACAUUACUCAGGAUGACCAUCAGGGACAAAACACAGUUUGUGAGUAACCACCUCCAAUGAUCAGCUCAGGAAAUAUGAAAACUGCCUAAAAUCAAUGAGACACAUGAAAGUACAAACUAUGUUUCUGUGACAUGAAAAAUAAAUAAAUAAAUAAACAAACAAAUAAAUAAAUAAAUAAAUAAAUGAAAGAUGAUUUAGGAUGACACAGUUGGCAUUUGAAAUAGCUCAUCACCACCUUUUGAAGAGGAGAGAAGUGUGCUCCUUAGGUCAGCCUGACAUUUGUUGUCCCACAUAUGGGAAAACACUUUUUCCUGCAAGUAUGAUGUUGCAUGAGGAAGCAGAAUGGGGAAAGUGCUGGCUGUAAUGCUCAGCAAUUGGAGACAGCUGCCUCUGCUAGUGAGCUAUAACAUGUGCCAUAGGAGAACGCAGAGCCCACUGCAGAGAUGUAGCUCUUGUAGGCCAUGUAGAGAGACUUGAUAAAAGAUGACUUCUGCCUCCAAAAGUGCAAAGUCUAAGCAGGUGCGGCGAUGAAAUCAAGGCUCAGCACCACUUCCUUACCAAAGAGAAACCCCAGCAGAGAAGCAGUACGUGCUCUCACUGUCACAGGGAGCGCGCAGCUCUCAUCUGCUGUGUGCCACUGCUGCUUCUUGCGCACAAAACCAUCCUUUCUGCCCGUUUGUUUGACUUUAAUGAGUGCAGAAGGGAAGUGCGCCCUGCAUUUUCUUUCUCUUAGAAUUUGUAUUGCAUUUCAUUAGGAACAGGUUUUGUAUGUCUGUAGUGCAUCCCUGGACAAAGUGGCUCUCGCCGCACACUUGUCAUUUUUUUAUUAUGUUAUUCUUUUUAUAUCAUUAUCAACGUUUUAUAAGUGUCUAUAAAAAUAGGUGUAGGAAAGUGAAAGUCUUCAGAGUGAGUAAAUGGACAAUGUGCUAAAUGAGUUAUGUCUCUGAUGCUAUUAUCUCUAAAUCAGCAUAGAUUAUUCAGGCUGGGGGCUUUUAGAAUCAUAAGUGGCUGAGAUCAUUUCUCAGUUCAUCAUCCUAUUACACAUAAUGAGAAAAUACUUCUAAAUAGGAAGAUUACUCUGUCAAAAGAUCCCCCAUGAAUGAUUCCCCAGGCACUGACAAUGUGUAUUAACUCUUUUCUUCCUACAUGGGAGGGAUGAGAGAAGCUCAGUCCUCAAGGAUUACCCUGAAACGUUCAGCAGCUCUGAAUUUGCUCUGCUCUCCUGGGACCCCUUUGCUCCAUGCUUAUGUUUCUAACAGCAUUUUCUUGGUUUCCACCCCUGCAUUUGCUUUCCUGCAGUAUGUAAAUUCAGCUGCCGGUGCUGAACCUGGAAUGAGAUAAAGCCUCUCAGAAAUUCAUUUCAUUAUUUUUGAGUGGUUCUGUUUAUGUCAGUUUUAAGGUUCCAUUCCACCAAGUGCAAAUUGUAGCAUUUCUCCAGCAAGUGAUUUCUGGCUGCAGCUUGACAAAGCGACAGCUCCCUUCCCUUCCCCAGAUGGGGAAGAUCUUCAGCACACAGGUGAUGAACGGCCCUCUUGUUCCAUUAUUUCCCACACUGCCACCGACUCAUUGCCUUAUUGCAUGGGUAGAGUUAUUAGUUUUACUUAUUGGGCAGCACGUUUCCAAGAAGCCAUUUAACGCACAGUUUCAUGAGGCAGUUUUCAUGGAAUAUAAACUCUACAUUCCAGCUCUCAAAUCAAGGAUUCCUUUUACCUUGCACAGAGCUCUGUGAAAUAUCCCUUAUGUUUGUGCAGGGCACAGUGAGGUUUCAGCACAUCCCACCCGCAGCCAAUCCCACCCAAAGGAUGUUGUUACUCCGCCUGCGUCUGUUCCCAAUCUCACAUAAAACAUCUUUUACAAGAGAAGAUGGAGCAAAUGCAAAUGUGUAUCUUCUGCAUGUUAACACAUACAAAGAGAAAUGACUCCUGCCAACUUCUGCCCAGCUUUGCCCUUGUUCUCUUACCAUCCUUCUCUGCAUGACAAACUACCUGCACUGAUUUAAUUAUUUACUGCAAUUCAUGGGGAGUGAGGAUUUCUUUCAGAGAGCCCCACAUUUACUAACAGUGCUUGAUGUUUGCAAACGUGAUAUUUCAGAACUGUUUGGAUGGUUCUGUGGGCAAACAUCAAUCUGAUGGGUGAUGAUGGGUGGCAGUUUACAACAAGCAUUUCUUGCACCAUCACAAGAGUUGGAAGUCUCUUGAUAACAUGACGUCCCACCACCAGGCAGAGGUUUACUCUCUUUAAUUGUUUACUCACAUAAAACUCGGGGAGCAAGAACUUACAGAAAAGGGAGGCUGAGAUCUAAUGUGAAAGAGAAUUGUUUUAUGCUUGCCUCCUGCCUGAUCUUUAUACUUUAUACUUUUAUUUUUACAUUGGCUGUGCCAGAGGCAAGGUAUUGGGUUAAAGAACCCCACACCGCAGCCAGUAAGACCAGAAGCAGGUUUUGAUGAGCAACCUGAGCCACCUUUAUAAAAUAUACAUCCCAGCUAUGGCCAGGCUUUCUGCGUGGAAUAGUUUUCCAUUAUUCUUCAACCGUAGAUUCAUAAUUACAGCAAGAGUAAACCAGAAGGUGCCCACAUUUACAAAAACACCACUGGAACUAUCAGUGACUCCCAGAAGAUCUAUUCCACUGGAGUUUUGCACACACAUCUAUAUGUGAUAAUGAGGGGUUUAUACGCUAUGAAAUGCAAUUUUAGAAUAAUAAAAAAAAAUUGGAUACAUCUGUUUUACUUCAUGCUGUCUUUCUGGACUGUGUUUGGAGUUGCUGAAAGUUAUUCCUUUUUUCCCUUUGCUUUGGCAGGGGUCGAUGGAGUGCUGGGGCUACACCCCUGGGCUGCCUGUACACAUGGUCAGAGUUCAGGCCAUGCUCAUGUACCAUAUGUGUUUUUGUUAUUACUCAUUACUGUGCAGGCAGAACCCACCACGCUGACAGCACAGUAGUCAGACAUGAUGGCUAUGCACUGGGAUGCCAUGUUGUGCUGGGAUGCCACGCUCAUUUAGACAACUAGAGCCCAGAGCACAUGCCUCCAGCCCUGUGGAUUCAAAGAGCAGCUGGAAGCCCCUGCAGAGCUUCACAGGAAGACAGCUGCCAGUUCACCGCCUGCUGGAGCCUCUGGAGGGACUUGGGGAGUCCAGGAAGAUUCCUACUGUGAGUUGCCUCAUCUCAUGGAUGAUCUCAUGAUCAUAUCCAUGAGAUAUCAUCUCAUGGAUGAUAUCUCUGUGAGUACAGAACGUUGCAUAGGAUGUCAGAGCUUGACUUUCCCUUGUAUACAAACGAUCUUCUCUAACAGAAACUUUUCCUUUUGCUCAAUUGCACAUAUUGAUAGCAAUUGUAACAGGUGAUUGCUGGGUGGGACUGAGCAUAGUCCUGUUAUGUCCCUUCAAAGGGUCCUUUCUAGCACAUUAAUCUCAUCUUGAGGGCAUUUAUUUUUUUAUCUGCCAAACAACAUUAGUAUUGGCUUCUGAUUUUAAAAUGCUUCAUAAAUCAUCUCCUUUCAGCUGCAUUUUGGAGUCAGUACUAUUUCACUUUUACUGUUUCUUGAAGCUCCCCAUAAAGUACAUUAAUUUUUCAUUAAAGAAAGAAAAAGUCUGUAUUUCUUUCCAGAAUAAAUGAAUUUUGUAACUUCAAAAUAUCUUGUCUAAUGAUCGCCAUCCAGCCAUUUAAAAUAAAGUCUUUGGGGACAGAUGUCUUCAUCGCUGAGCAAACUUUAAAUUGAUUUUCCACUUUCACUGUAAGAUUCAGUUAAAAAGAAGCAAAGACUGUAUUUCAGUACUGAUAUGCUCCCGACAUGUACUGUCAAAGUCUGCACUUGCCAUUCUUUUGGUGGGAAUAGCUGCUUUAGAAAUGUUUAUAUAUUAUCAAAAUUAGGUUUCAAAAUGAGCUACAGUAUCUAUAUAAAGGGGAAUAAUAUUAUUUUAGAGAAACUAAUUGGAAACUUGUUUUUUGGCUAAAGUAGUUAUUAUUUCCAUUAUGGCAAGCUGGAAGUAGAUGAAAUUCGCCUUUAUCUUUCCUAGCCUGGUGUCUCCAAUAAUUUAUUCAAACUGAAAUUAAAACCUGACACAGUCCCAGUGAGGCAUUUCACACCAGUUAAAGAUUAUUCUUCUGUAAAAGAACUUUUGUUCAAAAAUUUCAUUAUGUUAUUACAAAUGUAUUUAUUAUAGAAGGGUGAUACAUAAAUCAAAAGCUAUCUGUUCUUGUGUGUGUGUGUGUGUGUGUGUGUAUGUGUGUGUAUAUGUUUAUCCCCCUAACAAGACCUAAAACUGUAUUUUCUUUCCUAGGAACGUAAAAUUUUAAGAUAAGAACCACUGUUUCAUAUAUCAGGGAGGGAAUGCCUGUGGAAAACAUCUGCAGGAAAGCAAAAUGUUCAGUGCCAAGUGGAGCCUUGCAAGCCUGAGUGCAUACAGAGGCAAAGUCCAGUUGGGCAUGUGCAAGAAAAGAAGAGUAGAAUCACCAUAAAAUCACAGAAUGGCUUAGAUUGAAGGGGAACUUAAAGAUCAUCCAGUUCCAACCCCCGUGCCAUGGCCUGGAUGCCCCCCACCAACUCAUCUGCCCAGUGCCCAUUCAGCCUGGCCUUGAAUGUCUCCAGAGAUGGGGCAUCUGCAAAUUCUUUGGGCAGCCUGUGCCAGUGCCUCACCAUCCUCUGAGAACAGAACUUCUUCCUAAAAUCUGUUCAGAACCUCCUCUCUUUUAGAUUAAAGCUAUUCCCCCUACUUCUAUCACUAUCAAACACUGUAAAAAGUUGGUCCCCUUCCUUGUUUUAAGUUCCCUUCAAGUAUUGGAAGGCUGCAACAGUGUCUUCCUGGAGCCUUCUUUUCUCCAGGCUGAGCAAUCCCAGUUCUCUCAGCCUCUCCUGAUAGGAGAGGUGCUUCAGCCCUUGGAUUAUGGCCCUUCUCUACAUCACUCCAACAGUUCUCCGUACUCCCUGCAUCAGAGGCCCCAUGCCUGGACGCAGUACUCCAGAUGGGUCCACUCAAGGGCAGAGCAGAGGAGGACAAUCACCUCCCUCCCCUGCUGGCCAACCCUCUUUUGGUGUAGCCCAGAAUACUGUUGGCUUCUGGGCUGAAAAUAAAGCAGAAAAUAAGGCUCCUUUGCACUGAAGAAGGAAAGGAGUGAUGUUGAGUCUCCAAGUUGGAUGGUUAAAAGCUGCACAAAAUAGCAGCUAGCUGUGACUUUUGGUAAGGGCUACAGACAUAGGUGUCAUCCUUGGUGAGUUUAAAGCUGUGAGCCCUCUGCAAAGUGCCCUGGGUGGUUUGUGCAGCUGGGGGUCAGCACAAAGCAAACUAGCAAAGUGUGCAGUGCCACAAGAGCACUGGGCAGGCUGUAGGAGCAUGUGAAAGCAGUGGGGUGAGAAAUUGCAUUCUGUUCUAGUAACUAAAGGAUAUGGAGAGGGGUGGGCUCACAGGAGUGUGGGCAACUUUCAGACUGAGGAGAAAUUUUCCGAAAGCGUAAAAUUAUAAUUGCAUGAGGAAAGGGUGGUUAAUAAUUUUCCCCUUUUAAUUCAAACGCACUAAAGUUAAUUGCCAUUUGGCAGCCUGAGAUACACAAAUUAGGGGAGUCUAAUUCUGCUAAUCCUCACUCUAAGUUGCAGGGUAUUAAAUACAAACAUGAUAGUCUAGCAAAGGGACAGAUCCUGCCUCUGCUGAAACCAGUAGGAGCUCUGCCAUUGACUAGAGCAGGGGUCAGGUUCAGCCCCUGGGUGAGCUGUGCAGAUAGGGAUGAUCUGGCUUGGAUGAAGGGGGAAACAGUGGGGUUUUUCCUUUUGCAUUUGGGCCUGGAAUCACUCAGAUUCUCAAAUUCUGCCAAACUUCCCCAACCCCAUCACAUUUCCCAUUGCAGCUGCUUUUGGCUGCACAGACACCUACAGGCUGCAUUUUCUGUGCUUCUCCAUUCCCCACUUCAUCCUCAAACUGAUUAAAUACAUACUGGCAAAAAUAUCUCAAAAACCAAUGGCUGUAAUGCAAACUGGGCUAUUUCCUUGAGGAAUUUCUUCCCUGUUCAGCCUGCAGCAGUCUAUCUGCUAUCCCAAAUUCCCCAUGUGCUGUUGCAACCAUGUGUUAUAUCGCACAUCUGAUUUAAGCCCAGCAAGGCUUUAGUUCAUCCUCUGGUGAGUAAACCUAAGGAGAUUCCAGAGAAGCAAAGAAGCAUGCUGCCAGAGGCUGUGUUGGGUUUUGAGAUGAGUGAAAGUCUGGCUAUAGGAUGCAGUAUGGGUCUAUGCCUUGCAGCACUGGAGACCUUUGGUUUGGAGCUCUGCCUCUGAGCCAGGAUAAAACCAUUUGUCCAUCUGUGUGAAAUGUCUCUCUACCUGCGUAGCUGAAGUGUAAUUAAAGGUUGAUCCACUGAACAGGACUUAAUCUCUUAUGGCAUGAUAUAUUUGAGCCAAGCACCUUGCCAUGACUUGAUUUGAACUCCUGUUUACAAAUGACACUAGAUAAAUAGUAAGGAGAUAGUCCAAUCAGAAGCGGGUACUGCUUGGAAACACCCAUUUGGCUUGAAGUAUUGCAAGAAAAUCAAUCUGGGAUCUCUACAGAGCCGAGUAAGAACAUCAGUCUCCAAAUACAUCUGAUGUGAGCCAAGCCUCCUCAUUUUUAUUUCAGUUAUCACUGACAUUUCAGCUAUUAUUCAUCAGUUUAGAAGGAAAAGAGGAACCUACAUCAUUUGCAAAACCUAUAUGGUCUUUCCAAACAUUUUUCCUGCCCUCCCAGUGAUGAUUAUUACACACUGCUAUAAUUAAGCAGAUUAAUUUACAUUUCCCAUCAUCUGAGGAUGGAGUAGCAACACAGAUUUAUUUCUCUCAGUCACUGUUCGUAGCUGCAGCAGCAUUUGCUCUUUCAAAAAUGCAGCAGCGGAGAUGCUCUGUGAUUCCAAAUGAAAUAAUUUUGAUGUCACAAGAAAUGUCAUUAAAACUACUGCAGUCUUUUAAUAAGCUCCUUCUUAGGAGGAUGGAUUUUCAGCCUCUUCGUGUCAGCUCUGCACAGAGUAACUACAGCGAAGCUUGGUGCCAGUGUCCCUCUUACAAAAUCUGUUUCUCAAGGGUUUAUAAUUAUAACAUGCCCAUAAAAAUUUACUCAUCUGAAACCCAGGAUAUAGUUUCUCAGACAGAGAGGAAAUAUUGCUCACUGAACUUGGUUUAAAUCAAUUCCGAGUUUCAAGAAUCCAAAAAUAAUAAGGUUUGUGGGUUUUAUAUGCUCUUUCUGUGGUUCCAUAACUCAGAAAGAAAUCACUUUGUAGAAUAAAGUGUCAUGUUUGUUUAUAAAGCAGAGCAGGGGAGAAGCAGAUAAAAGUUCAGACUUCUUAUAGUGGCUACUGAAAAUCCAAAGAAAAUAAUGUUCUCCAUUUCCCUAUGGUGCCCUCACACUCGAAGCUUGUCCCGACUAGCUGUGAUGAUACACACUGCAGGAUCCCAGCGGGGCUGUGGGCCCCAUCCUCGUAGGUGUAGAGAGCUGCUCUAAGCAGCUGGGGGAGUAAGGGAUGGAAUCACCCACAGCAUUUUUACCAUUUCCCCCAUUUCUAGCUUUCUGCAGUUAGAAGGAAAACGGAAAGCGCCCUCCUAAUAAUUGCUAAUAAAAGCAUCGAUAAACGAUCCUGCACAACUUAGUUCCAAUGUAUACUGGCAUCACCAAACGCCUUGCAAUAUUUAGCCUUUAGCUUGUAUCGACGAGGAAAAUAACACUGCUGCUGAACUGAAAUAUAGAUGGCAUAAGCAAAGCCCAGCAAGUACAGAAAGACAGAAAACAAGCCCUGUGAAAUCUAAAAGCAAUAUUUUUAAUUUCAUUUGGAAUUCAUAUUCAGGUCGGUUUUGUACAGUUGCACAUUGUUCAGUCUAUCUUUGUCAGCUCUUGCCUAUUAGAAAAAAUAUUGCACUUUUCAAUGUUCUACCUCUGUAUCAAAUUGACAGAGUCAUUUUUCACAAGGCAAGCUGGAAUUAAGGUGACAUUAAACCAUUUUGCAUAUAACAAAUAAAGUCAUGCUGCAACAACAGUUAAAAAAAUAGCUGUUUUCUUGGUGUUAUUUAUCAUGCCUUUCCAAGGCAGUUUUGGUGAGUUCCUGAAUAUCCGCAGAUUUGCUAGCCUGACAUGAUAUUGCAAGUUUGGAAAUCAUGUUUGCAGUUGUAAUUAUAAUAUUCUCAUUUUCUCAUUCUGCCUAGUAUUACAACUUCUUUAAAGUCAGCCCCUAUAAGGAACACUGUCUGUUUGUCAGAGUGUUAUUUCCACAAAGUAUUUUCUCUUUUGAGGAGUGUUAUUUCCAUCCUGCAAUAUAUCAGGUAUUUCAUUCACACAAAAUGAUUGAACAAAUGAUAAAAAGAAUCACCUUAUCAAGGAACAUGCUUAUAAGCACAUUUUGCUCUUCCUUCAACUUCAGGCUUUUAGUAUUACUGACUCAGAUCCCAUAUGUAAAGCAAUAUACUGAGUACUGUAUGGGUCUUAGAGGAAGUACGCAUAUUUUCCACAGCUGGCUGAAAUCCAAACGUAUUUCUAAAUCCUAAAGAAAUUCUGCUCGUGAGUCAUCCUUGUAGUGCAGCGUAGGAGAGUGUAGCUGUGUGGGAAGGGUGGGCUCUGAUGAGGAACACACAGCACUGUGCAGAGAGAUUUGAUAAUAAACAUCAUUACGAUGGUUUACACAGCUGUAAUGGUUAUCCGAGACCUCAAAAGCUUUGUUUCUAUGGCAAUCCCAAAAAUCCUAGAAGAGAUGUUGAAUGCAAGACAGAUGUUUGGGUAACAUAUCCUCAGCUUCCUGUUUUCAUACGUUGUUUCCCAUCCAGCCUCACAACUCAGUUCACACGUGGAUCUAUAAAGAGGUGCUAAAACCUAUUAGAGGGGAGAUCUUACUCUACAUUUGGGCUGAGAUCAACCAGUAGGAGUUAGAGAAUCUGCAGAAUAGAUAGGGAGCAGUAACACAAAACCAGUCACUUGGUCCAGCCCCAUGGCAUGAUGCAGUCUAUCAGUCUUCACUGUUUACCCAUCAUCUCUUUUCUCUUCAACCUUUUGUUUUCAAAUGUCAUGGAAAGCUAAGCAGCUGGAUUUUUCUGAGUGAGGUUUUAAAAACACAUUUUUCUUCCAUAAUAGGAAAUUCCUCACGACCGCUUCAGUGCUUCCUUUCCUCUGCAGUUUGGUUGGCAAAGCAAAACAGAUCAUCACCUGCACUAAGACGGUGAUGUGCAAUGGCCCAUUGCAGGAGAAUUCAGGUGGGGAGGGAGGAAACUGUGAGAAGGGUAACCAGAUAGCAGACAAAUUGUCCAAAUGAGAAAAAGUGAGAUUCCCACUGGUCUUUUUGCCAGGACAGCCCUAAGCCAGCUUUUUCCAUUGUUCUACAUUAGCUCCCCAUUGCCUUUAUCCUCCUCAGGGACCCCACAGUCUUCUAGUUGGUACUGCAGAAGGUCAGCACAGUUCAUCAGUUCAUUUUGUCUCUGUUGUACCAGACUUUCAGACUGGGAUUUCUUUGUCUUUCCCAUCUUUAUGUAGCUUUGCCACAAAUGUGUAACCUAUAAAUCGAAUUACUUUCAAAUACAUUUCAGACAUACAUCGGGACGUUAAGGGCCAUAUUGAAAGAGAAGUGUUUUUUUCUGGGUUUCUCCAGGAGCAUCCAGGACUCUUAAAGUUUUAUGUUAAACAUCAGCCUCACUCUUCCCCAUAUUACAGUGAUGAAGAACUAACUUGAAAUCAAUUUAUUGAUCCCUAAGAAGAUAGAUAUAGAAGGUUAUUAAAGUUAACACUUCUGUAUGUGCAACCUAUUACUGUGCAACCUAUUACUGAGCUUGUUAACAUUCACAUGCUGGUUGACAGCGGCUAUGGGAAGGACAAGGUAGCCAGCUCCCUUCUGAAACAGCUGCUCAUGGGUAGGAAUUCAGCUUUAGUCCUGUUCUGGUAGGUCCUACAUCUCAGCUGGAGCCAAUGAGGCAGUGCCAGUUGAUAUUUAGUUCCUUAAAAAUUGUCACUUGCUUAGCCCACAUUCCAAAUUUCUACAUCGUUUUUUCAGCUUUGGUGUCUAUAGUUGAACCAACGACUUACAUAUGUAUAUAUGAACUAUUUGCCUAAUUUCUUUUCCUAUGCAGUUACUCGCAAUAUGAAGAAUAUAAGAAGGGCUACUGUAUUAGAAAAUCAGCCACAAGCCACAUGGAUACAAAGCUGUUGAGUGUGCAGCUAUGCAUGUUCACACAGAUGUGUUUUACUUUACAGAUUUAAAUGAAAUCUUCUGCAGUCAGAGAAACCAAGUUUCCUGUGGUCCUUCGUUUUGAAACCAUCCAUUUUCAAUAAUUUAUUCACAGGCAGUCUCUGUUGCAGUGGGUUUGCAUUUGUCACAUCACCUCAAUUUUUCUAAUGAGUUGUUAAUGAGAGGUCAAUUACUUAUGGAAAUUAGGAAAACAUUCAUUGAGGAACUGUACUGAGUAAAGUGUGCUACUUCAUAAUGUUAUGAUAUAAAUCAUUACAGCUUUAAUGAUUAUUUUACAUUUUUUCAUGUUUGAGCUUAUUCCCUGCCUUAUACAGUGGCCUUAAGAUGAUUUUGAAAUGAACUGAAGUGACUCCCCUGAAAAUGUUACCAUAUUGUAUUUUCUAAUAACUGCAGAAGAAUGUCUUUUGUUAUUAAACAUUUGCUCAUGCAUCAGCAUCUUGCUGUGAAAUCUUCAGCUGAAUAUAAGGAUGUUAGGAACACCAGAUGUGCCAUGCUGGCCCAGAGCAGUAACCUGUCCUUUACCCUGGCUCUGCUUCCACUUUUGAUACUACAGGAGAAAAUGGCCAUCCCACAAAGACCUUGGCCCAAACUGUGACCUGCAAAGCAGCCUCCUGACUCCUCUUCUGGACAACCAGGUAAGCAUCCACAGCCUGCAGCACAUCAUUCCCCAGAAUUAUUGAGUUCUACGCUGUCUUUUUAGUGAAAAAUCUUCAGGAAUUGCUGACUGUUAAGUCAAAAUGUUUGUCUCACAAUUUUCCCUCCUCCCAUGCACCUAUUUUGAACACUUUUAAGGCUUUGAAUGAACGGUAUACAAACACAGGAACAUAGGCAAAAAAAGGAUCCAAGGGACCAAGACGAAUUGUGGCUCAGUUGCAGAAUCAUGCAAUUAAAUGGAGAGGCCAGGGGUAUAAUUCACUGCUGAAAUUCAGCUUUGUGCUGUCGUAAGUUAUUAUUUCAGAGCAGACGCUGAAACAGCCAGAGAGGAAAGUGUACAAGCAGAAGUAUAAUUGGACUUCAGUAUUUCAUACUGACGCCCUGAGAUUUCCACAACUAAGCACAGUUUCAGAGUCCAACCAGGGUAACACAGUGAACAAACGUAAGAUCUCCCAUAUUCAGCCCGUCAGAUUAUUCCAUUUCUCCUGCAGGCACUGUAAAUCAAAAGCUAAAAACACCCCAUUAUGUUCUACAAAACAGUUUUGUUGGCCCUUCUUACCAAACACAUUCUGGACACACGUGUUAUUUUUAUCUGAGUCUCAUUUAUUUCUGUUCUACUGUCUGGAAUUCAGCGUUAAAUUGGGGGAAAGAAGGAAAGGAGAGAAAAAAAGCUCAAGCUUAGAAACCAAGUAGUUAACCACAGAGAAAGAAAGCAGCAGUCAGUUAAAUCAAACAAUGAACACAUCACAUGGACGUGAUUUUCUCAGUCUCUAAAGACUUAUAAGGUCUGUGUCCCUUUAAACCAGGCAUGGGCUGGAUGCAGGUGAAACCCUUGUUGUUAUUUGACUUAGGAGUGCUUAGAGCCCAACAUUUUAGGGUAAAGAAACUGAUUGUGCUUAUUAGGGAAUAAAUCAGCUGGUCCAAAGUACAGUCCUGCCACUUACUGUUAAUAUCACCUCGGGAAGCACUCGCAUUUACAUCUCUAACUCCUUCCCUUGUCCUUGGAGGGAUAUACAUAUUAACAACAAAGAGGUGUCCAACUACUAAUCAAAAGCAAUACAAUACCAUCAAAUCUAUGAUGAAAUAAAGAAGAAACGAGUAUCAAUCUAAGUACCUUCUCUUUACAUCAGAGCCUCUACAUUGUUUUCAGGAGCUUUUUUUGUCAUGCAGUGAUGAAAGGCUGAGAACAAAGUGAGUAAAAUUUCCUCUUACUGCUUAAAAAUUCUCAGCUGGUUUGCCGUAUCAAAAAGCUGUCUCUUUAAACAAAUCACACGGUUAAAAAUGCCAAGUUAUAAUUCAGCAACUAACUCAGAAAAUGACAAUUUAAUCAAUCAGAACCAACCCUCCUAGAAAAAAAAGAAAAAAAAAAAUCUUCAGGCUUUCAUGCAAUGGGAGAGCGGUUGAAACUAUAAAAAGGCUCAAUCACUGUAGAACAAGCCUGCAGCAUCAAUGUUUAUUAAAGUCAGGGGAGCCAUUUAUUGACCUGGGAAAUAGCAAACCACCAACAGCACUGCCAGAUUGCAUUUUUAUAGUUAACAAACGGAAGGUGAUAUUUUCCUUUUCUCUUUUAAUUGUGAUUCCAUCAAAUCCAAAGAGCUAAAAGCUGCUUGGUUUUUAAAGGAACGUGAAGAGGAGGAUGCUCUGCCCCAUCCUCCAGUCACUCUCUCUGCUCUGACUCCUAGCAAUGGGAUCUAUUAAAUCAUUGCAUCAUAGGAUCAAAUUUUUAGGCUUAUCAGAAUGACAGACCUGUGUCUGCUCCCCCCUGCACUUUAGGUGAUGAUAGAAGAUAGGGAGCUAUCAUUAUCAAGCUGCUUCCUUCUGUAAUCAAAAAAGAAUUAUUGUAUUUAUUGAUAUAAAGGUCAUCUUGCCACUGGGACAGCCAAAAGCACUUAGAAUUAAUUGUCUUCUCCCAAACUGACAACUGGCAAUUAUUAUUAUUUUUUUUAUCAAAGCACAGCUUGGUUGUUCUAGAGAUUAUGUAACUGUUUUGCCAGACGUCUUUAACUCGCACUUUUUUACACCACAUACAUUUUGAGCUAUGUAAGGCUAUAAACAGGAAAGCAUCACAACACGAGCUGCCCUACCCAUGUUAUCUGAGCUGAGCUUCAUUCUCUGCCCAGCCACUGGAAACCUUGGGGUUAGCAAGGCAACGAUUGAAGUCAUUCUGUGUGUGUCAGCUGCCACCUCGACCGGUGCCAUCGUCAGAAAGUGGACUUCAAAGGCUGCAAGGAUGAGUCAGUGCAGCCUGAUGCGCCAUGCCACAUGCUGCGGCUGAGAGCUGUGACAAACCCACGUCCUCUGAGCAUUAGGUACAAAGCGAGCCGGCCGACAGGUUAUACAUGCAUGCAUCAAAAGGACUGAAUACGGUAACAAAUCUCCAGCCACUCAGGGCCAUCGGAGCUGUCAAUACGCCGCAUGCAUUAGCGAGAGCAAGGGAGAUAAAAACAAAGACUCCUUGCCUCAAAACCACACGUCUCUGCUGCUCAGAGAAUUUCACACUGCCUCUGAGCAGAGCUCCAAGGUGCAGAAGCACGUUUCUAAUGCCACCCAGUCCUAGGCGGCACUUCGCACCCUUUCAGGUUUGCAAACACACCUGCAGCAGUUCUACAUCUUGUUUUCCUUGUUCAUAGAGAAGAACACGUAAAGUCCUCACUCACAGCACAGUGGAGGAAUUUGACACAAGUUAAUGACUUACCUGUCAGACUAUCAGAAUUUUGAUGCUUGCAGGGGGAAAAAAAAAAAAAGGCUUUGAGUAU